rnacentral:rRNA from 1 species
GAUCCUGGCUCAGGACGAACGCUGGCGGCGUGCCUAAUACAUGCAAGUAGAACGCUGAAGAGAGGAGCUUGCUCUUCUUGGAUGAGUUGCGAACGGGUGAGUAACGCGUAGGUAACCUGCCUUGUAGCGGGGGAUAACUAUUGGAAACGAUAGCUAAUACCGCAUAACAAUGGGUGACUCAUGUCAUUUAUUUGAAAGGGGCAAAUGCUCCACUACAAGAUGGACCUGCGUUGUAUUAG